AUACUUACCUAAUGCCGGGGCCUCAUUGGCCACCAAGGACGAGCCCCCAGGGCGAGGCGCGGACACUGCACUGCGCUCGCGUAGACCCCUGCCACUACCCCAAACUGGGGCCGAUGGGGCAUGCAAAUCACUUAAAUCCGGUUCAACCCAAGAGAAAGCGCCACCGGC
rnacentral:snRNA from 1 species